rnacentral:misc_RNA from 1 species
AACGCACAUUGCGCCCCUUGGUAUUCCGAGGGGCAUGCCUGUUCGAGCGUCAUUACAACCCUCAAGCAUUGCUUGGUCUUGGGCUCUCGCCGCGCACGCGGCGGGCCUUAAAAUCAGUGGCGGUGCCGUCGGGUCCUGAGCGUAGUAAAUCUCCUCGCUACAGGGUCCCGGUGGACGCUAGCCAGCAACCCCCAACUUUCUAUGGUUGACCUCGGAUCAGGUAGGGAUACCCGCUGAACUUAA